rnacentral:miRNA from 1 species
UAGGAAUUUGCUAGUUCUUCCA